AAAACAAUUAUUAUUGUUCAGGUCAUAUUUGAUAACUGUUGUUAAUUGAUAACAUAUUACAGGGACACAGUAAAAAGACAAAACAUUUAGACCCUUUGAAAGAGAAAUGUUUGCAAUGGAUAUUAAUAAAUUCUAGCCAAUUUGUACGAUGUACAAUGCAGGCAAUAUUUCUGCCUCCUAACGCACUAUUCGCGUAAAAGAAGAUGUGGGUAUUGUAUUUAUACCUAGAACAGAUUUAUUAUUAGUUGGCUAGUGUGUUAGUAGGAUAGCCAUUGGUAGUUAUAAAGUCGUCAGGUAUUAAUAAUAGGAAUUGAUCAAAGCUUAUACAUUUAUUGUGAUAUUUAUAUUGUGAAUUUAAGUAGUUAGAGUUUUGGUUGUUUAAUAAACGAAUUAAUGUGCUUA